CACGUAGGAGGCGAGCGUUGUCCGGAAUCAUUGGGCGUAAAGAGCGCGCAGGCGGCUUGGCAAGUCGGGUGUGAAAUCCCGGGGCUCAACCCCGUGACUGCAUCCGAUACUGUCAGGCUAGAGGUAGGUAGGGGAGAUCGGAAUUCCUGGUGUAGCGGUGAAAUGCGCAGAUAUUCGCAAGAAUACCAGUGGUGAAGACGGUGCCCUGGGCCAUACCUGACGCUGAGAUGCGAAAGCGUGGGGAGCGAACGGG
rnacentral:rRNA from 1 species